rnacentral:rRNA from 1 species
GCAGUCGACGGGGUGGCGGGGCAACUCGUCAUUCAGUGGCGAACGGGUGAGUAAUGCAUCGGAACGUGUCCCGUAGUGGGGGAUAACUCGGCGAAAGCCGAGCUAAUACCGCAUACGCUCUGUGGAGGAAAGCAGGGGAUCGCAAGACCUUGCGCUAUCGGAGCGGCCGAUGUCAGAUUAGCUUGUUGGUGGGGUAAAAGCCUACCAAGGCGACGAUCUGUAGCUGGUCUGAGAGGACGACCAGCCACACUGGGACUGAGACACGGCCCAGACUCCUACGGGAGGCAGCAGUGGGGAAUUUUGGACAAUGGGCGCAAGCCUGAUCCAGCCAUGCCGCGUGCGGGAAGAAGGCCUUCGGGUUGUAAACCGCUUUUGUCAGGGAAGAAACGCUCUGGGCUAAUAUCCCGGAGUAAUGACGGUACCUGAAGAAUAAGCACCGGCUAACUACGUGCCAGCAGCCGCGGUAAUACGUAGGUGCAAGCGUUAAUCGGAAUUACUGGGCGUAAAGCGUGCGCAGCGGCUUUGCAAGACAGAUGUGAAAUCCCCGGGCUUAACUUGGAACUGCAUUUGUGACUGCAUGGCUGGAGUG